AUCUAAUAGUGUUUCUUGUUUUAGCAGUGGGUUUAUUUUCAGACUUUAAUCUCUGGCUGCUGCAAAUGUUCCUGUACAGAAAGCUGCGCACAGCAGGUUGUGUCUCAUGCCAAAGACAGCAGCAGGCUGACACAGAGCGAUGAAGAUGCUGUUACACUGUUAGCCUGAAAAAAAGAUUCUGAUUAGACUCAUUGACACGAUUGAUUCUGCAAAAGUAUGAUUAUUGUGCCCUCCGCCAUUGACUGAAGCCAGGUGCGGCUCGCAUACCGCAUGGCAAAUCACUUUAGAUGCUAUCUGACUCACAGAUCGCCCAACCACCCUGAUGCCUGCUGAGGACUCGAGAGGUCACGCUCUGAGCUCACAGCUCAAAUAUCACGUAGCAACAAAGUCUUAAGGCUUCUGUCUUCUCCUCUCUGUAUGUAACCAAUAAAUCCUCACUUCAUUCAGACGUCAGAGCCGGGCCCGUCUAACCUCUCAAGCGAACACGCUUCAUCCCGAGUUAAGACAGAUCGUUUGGGUUUGAAAUAAAUGUGAGAUGUACAGCAAAGCCAACCAGUCAGAACAUUUUGAUUAACAUGUGUUCAUUUUCAUUGCCAGAUCGCAUGUGGAAGUAAUUAUGUCCCAUUCAUGCCACAUUAGAUUCACUGAAAAGAGUUUUAAAUAUAUCAUUGACUACACAUUAACGGUGAACUCACAUUAAUGAGCCUUACUUGAAAAAGCUGAGCAAUAACAUCUGUGCUUCAUCUGAUAGAAAUGCAGAUUCAGCAAGUGAGCCAUUAUAAGAAGUAAGAAGUGGCACAUUUAAAGUUGUUAAACCUUCACUGAGAUUUCUGUUGUUUCUUUAUUGAGGUGAACGCUUUAUUAGAAGCCAUCUAUUCAUUUAUCAACAGUUAAUUAUGCUUCACUAAAGUUAAUAAAUCUAUUAAUACUUUCACUUUUAACUACUAUUAGGAUUCAACUGUAGGCAAGUUAACAGUUUGUUAUACUUUUGCAGAUGCAGAUACACUAAAACAAGCACAAUUUCUUAUUGAGUUUAAGAAAUCCAUGUUAUCAAACACUUAUUCAUGAUUAACUAUCCUUUUUUCAUCUAUUGGAUCUGAAGCAUAAAGAAAACCACAUCAGGAUUAUUGAAUGUAUUAUUAUAAACAAUGACUAACUGUGCAUUUUAAAUAUGCAUGUUAUCAAAGUUGAUAAAUUGUGAAUCAUACAAAAAGAGUAUUUUAUGUGAAGCACAAAAAAAGUAAGCUCUUUUUUUCUUUUUUCCUUUCUAGCAUUAAUAAUAAUAAUAUUGGAUUGCAUUUAUGUGGCGCUUUUCAAGGAACCCAAAGGGCUUUUUACAAUGCCACUAUUCAUUCACUCUCACAUUCACACACUGGUGGAGGCAGCUACAGUUGUAGCCACAGCUGCCCUGGGGCAGACUGACAGAAGCGAGGCUGCCAUAUCGCGCCAUCGGCCCCUCUGGCCAACACCAGUAGGCGGUAGGUGAAGCGUCUUGCCCAAGGACACAACAACCAGGACAACAGAUAGAGCUGGGGAUCGAACCGGCAACCUUCCAGUUACAAGAUGUGACCUCUGACCUCCCAACCAUGAACUGAUGCACAGAUUUGGUGCAUUAAAUAAAAAAUUUAAGUCAAGAAUUUCAGUUUAAUUACUUUGUUACCACAUAACUUGUAACCACAGGCAAUUGUGAUACAUUAAUAAGAGAAUGUAGCCUUUAAAAUAAUUAUAAUAAAGCUUUUAACACUGACAGUGACAGAAUGAUUAUAUAUAAUGUAUGAAAGAUUAUUAUUAUUAAACUUACUUCGAUAUUUUCAGUAACAUUAUUGGCAGAGAGGAGACUCCCCACAAACAGCCCUGCAAAGUCUGUGUUCAGUACAAAGGACCAAAAAGAAAGGAUGGCAUGGCGCCAGUAGUUAUGUUGAGCAUUACUAAAGUACUAAUUGAAAAAAAGGUGUCAUCCUCUCAUCACAAUGAGCACGUUGAGUAACCUAAAUUAAGCACACCACUCAUGACCCACAAGUGCAUGCUAAUCUAGUUAGCAUGCUUGUGGUGGAUCCUGGUUAUAUAUGAAUGUGCAAAUAAGAUGAGCCUGGUGGUGGACUGAGGACACUCAAAGAGCCGAGUACCACAACACACUCAGGCCCAAUUCCAAUAUGGCCUAUACGCCGCUUUACUCCCUGUGCAGGUACGCUUGCUGUUGUGGAGGGUCUCUUAAGCCCCUUUGAUACUCAACAAAAAAAGGCCACCAGCACAUGCUAACAUCGCUAGGCUUUUGCCUCAGUAGUGGGAAAGGGUACAGUCAUUGUUCAUUCCCAGGUUAAAUGACUCAGUGACUUCACCUGUCACUGGCUCCAGUGCCAAUUUGCAAUGAUGUAAGCAUGAAAACAAAGUAGAUAUGGUCAUUUUUAUCAUGUUUCCAGUACAGUAAGUGGUAAGCUACAGUAUAUAAAAUCAAAGUGAAUGAAAGGAGUCAGUGGCCUUCUUUCAAAACUGAUCUGUCCUGGUCAUGGUGUCAACAAAUGUGUCAAAAGAAUUUGGGUCAGCUCUUUGUUCAAAUCUUUAUUCAUAAUGCACUUUUCCACAAAGAGGGGUCAAACUGUUUUUUUAAGAUUCAUAUAAAACAUAUCAGCACAAUAAAAUUCCAUUUAUCCAUCCACCCCUGCUCCUCAUCUGAGCCCAGGCUGUGAGGUAUCAGUCCAACCGUUACUAUACCUCCUUCUCCCCAGCUCUUCUGUGGGAAUGCUGAAGGCAGCCAAGAGCCUCAAUCUCUCCAAGGAUGUCUGCUCUGAGGUGGACGUACCAGAAACACAUUACCUCAGUAGCUUGCAGGACGCUUCCUUAAUAAAUGCCGAACCACCUCAGCUGGCUCUUUUCAUUGGAGUAGCAGCGACUCUACACUCAGCCUUUCCCUGGCACACAAUAAAACUGCUGAAUUUUUUGUUGUUGUAUUUUUAUGUGUUAAACCUGGAAGCUAACAUUUGUUAUCUAUAGCAGUUAGUCUGGCCUUGAGAAAAGGAAGUCCAGAAAUCUAGAGGGUUUUAAACAACUAAUGUCUUUGUUUUGUUUUGUUUUCCCCUGAUGCUGUCUUUCUGUCCUUAAAAAAUGUCAUUCAUGACAUUUUAAACAUGUGACAACUUUCAGUAAGGGGAAAUGAAGGCACCUGUGGGAGUAUCUAACGCUGUCUGAUGGCCAGUGAUUUUACUGGCGGCAACUGCAUCUCAUUUGGGGAUAAACCUGACAGUGUGUAGGAGGCUCACACACUCAUUCCUACAGCCACUGGAGUGGAAAACAACACAACACAAAGAUCUGUUUUUGGGCUUUUCCCUCCUUCCCUGUUAUCCUCACCUGCAUCUCACAGCUUGUUUCGUAGGUUUCUUUUUUUGGCAUAAAAUGAACGAGAUGAGAAAAACAGAAUUCAGUUCAGUGAAUCAAAGAAGAACAACAACAAAAUGAAAGACAACACAUAAUUGAUGUUGUAGUACAAAAACCCCACCAUCAGGCACUUUCUAUGAAAGUUUUGAGUGGUUUUUUUUUUUUGAUUAGUCAGUUCUCAUUGCUGCUGUUUUUCUAACAGAUAAACGUGAACUAUCUCCACAAAGAUAUUUUUACAGAAGUGCACGAUUCUGUCUGAGAAAUGCUUCUCCAUUUUUGAUAUCUGUGUUUUUAUUUAAUGUAUAAGCUCAUGGUGAGGAUUUUGUUUCUGUACAUGUAUCUGACUAAAAUAGGAAAAUACCAUUUAAUAUAAAAAAAAAACCCCAGAAUAUUUGAUAAAGUUUUGCAUUUUGAUGUGAAAUAUCUCAUGUAAUAUGCUUCUGUAAGUAGCUCUUGGAUGAUGAUGAUGAACAGUUCCUAAAUAACUUGCUUGUUCUUGGUGAAAUAGUGUAUUUAUAAACAGUGAAUUUGUCAUUAAUGAAGUAUAAAUGUGGUAACACUACUCACAUACAGGGAGUGCAGAAUUAUUAGGCAAAUGAGUAUUUUGUCCACAUCAUCCUCUUCAUGCAUGUUGUCUUACUCCAAGCUGUAUAGGCUC
ensembl:lncRNA